UUCCUCAUACUUUCCCUUGGUGUUAGUGAUUUCAUUAUAUGUUAAUAAACCACUUUUAACAAAUUGAGAGAAAAUGGACUUUAUCCGACUUAAAGAAACAAAACAGUGAUUACUUACCUAUGCUACUUCCCAAAUCUUAGCAUAAUAGAGUCACUGACUAAACGAAUAAAUCAACAAAGUUUGUAUAUUUAACAUACACCUAUAUUCACGCUAUGUGUGUAUCUUUGGAUCAUAGAAAUAAGCUUAUCAAAUUUCAGAACUACGAUUUACUAAGCAUUUAACGUUGGAUGAGAAUCCAGCAUAAAGACUAAGACCAUAACAUAUUUAUACACUACAUGAAAACUUAUGUACCAAGUUCAAGUCUAGAUCUACUAAUAACAGACACAAUAUGAUACUGGUUAGCAAGAAAAAGAAUUAAACAUCUUGACGAAAUACAAGAAAUAACAGCUGAAAAUGACUGAUUCCAUUAAUUUCAAAGCACACAUAUCUUCAUAUCCGAUUUGUAGCCCAAGGUUCAAAAGGAGUGUACCUGGACAGUAAAGCAACAAAAUAGAAAAUAAAUAUCUGAAAUUGGAAUGAAGCAACAGCAAUCAGAAGAACAGCAGCAGAAAAUAGCUUCAAAUCUCAGUCCAAAAUCAACUUUGAGGAAGACAAAACUUGUAUAAAGAUGUAGCAGAAAUCACAAGCAACUUUGAAAACUCUUUCUAUGAUUUUGAUUUCUGGUAUUUUCAAACAUAAAACCUAAACUUUCUAGCUACUUUCUCUUUUUUCUGUCUGAGCCCGUGUGCCUUUUUUUUUAGAGUGAAUGUGCAAACAAUUUUCCUUCCGUAAAUGAGAGGAGGAGUCCCUUUAUAGAAUGUGAGCAUGUGCUAUAUGUGAGGGAGAGGAGGUGUGGGAAUAUUCUGUCAGCUUUCCCUAAAAAUCAGGGAAUUGGUAUCUUUUGCAACUGAAAUGGACAGCUGUCCAAUUCCAGAAAUUCCUUCAAACUCCUAUCCUAAACUACUCUCCAAGACUUUGUAUUUUACACUUAGUAACCAAACUAGGUAUGGGCCUCCCAGCCAGUAAGCCCAACCAAACGAAAAAAAAAUAAUCAAAACUUAACCAAACAGGCCCAAACGUCUUCAAUCAGAAGAAACAAAUAAUUCAAAAGUAAAACAGAGAAUAAUCUGAAAUGAGGUGAUGGAUUUUUCUCGAUUAAUUAGUAAACAAGCAACAUUAAACUCAAAAUCACCUAGCCAAAAUAAUUAAUCUUAAAUAGCUAAAACUAAUUAACACAUAAACUAACAAUUAAAUUCGAUUAACAGCAAUAACCUAAUAGAUAUGAAAAUCAUUGACUAACUAGUUAAAAUUAGUUCAAUUAACCUAGAAUUUACGCAAUUAACCUAUUAAAUUCAACUAACUUUAAACAAACUAAAAAUUAAUUCAAAUAAAGAAAUAAGAAAAAGAAAAGGAGAAUCAAUAGAAAAGAGAGGAAGGGUACUAAUUUUGGCCGGAAUGAAUCGACGAAUCGAAGCGGCUCGAUGCACGAUGAAAGCGACGAAGUUGGCCGGUCAAUGGUGACUUGGCCGGAAUCCGGCGACUCUCGGAAUGAAUCAAAACUAACGUUAAUCAAUUAUUCUUAACAAGAACAAUUGCUUAACGCAAGUCUCGAGUUAAAUCGAGCCUUGAACACACAAAAAUCAGAUUAAGAGCGGCUUAGGUUUUUUUUUUUGGUUGAAAUAUCAGAUUUGAAAUUAACAAAAGUGGGUGGGGAGGGGGAGGGGGGAGGGUAGGGGAAAAUAAUGGUAGGAUGGGGAUUAUAGGGUGUUGGGGAUUAUGUGGUGUGAAAUUGGAGGUGGGCCGCCGCCGUGAGGCGAUUUCCGGCGGGCGGCGGCCGGUGGUGAUAGGCGGAGGGUGAGAGAGGUGAAAGUGGGGGGUUAGUUCUGAGGGGUUGGGGGUCU
rnacentral:lncRNA from 1 species